AAUGGACGCAAGUCUGAUGGAGCAACGCCGCGUGAGUGAAGAAGGGUUUCGGCUCGUAAAGCUCUGUUGGUAGUGAAGAAAGAUAGAGGUAGUAACUGGCCUUUAUGUUGACGGUAAUUACUUAGAAAGUCACGGCUAACUACGUGCCAGCAGCCGCGGUAAUACGUAGGUGGCAAGCGUUGUCCGGAUUUAUUGGGCGUAAAGCGAGUGCAGGCGGUUCAAUAAGUCUGAUGUGAAAGCCUUCGGCUCAACCGGAGAAUUGCAUCAGAAACUGUUGAACUUGAGUGCAGAAGAGGAGAGUGGAACUCCAUGUGUAGCGGUGGAAUGCGUAGAUAUAUGGAAGAACACCAGUGGCGAAGGCGGCUCUCUGGUCUGCAACUGACGCUGAGGCUCGAAAGCAUGGGUAGCGAACAGGAUAAGAUACCCUGGUAGUCCAUGCCGUAAACGAUGAGUGCUAAGUGUUGGGAGGUUUCCGCCUCUCAGUGCUGCAGCUAACGCAUUAAGCACUCCGCCUGGGGAGUACGACCGCAAGGUUGAAACUCAAAGGAAUUGACGGGGGCCCGCACAAGCGGUGGAGCAUGUGGUUUAAUUCGAAGCAACGCGAAGAACCUUACCAGGUCUUGACAUCCAGUGCAAACCUAAGAGAUUAGGUGUUCCCUUCGGGGGACGCUGAGACAGGUGGUGCAUGG
rnacentral:rRNA from 1 species